rnacentral:rRNA from 1 species
CCUACGGGUGGCAUCAGUGGGGAAUAUUGGACAAUGGGGGGAACCCUGAUCCAGCCAUGCCGCGUGUGUGAAGAAGGCCCUCGGGUUGUAAAGCACUUUCAGUGAGGAAGAACGCCUGGUGGUUAAUACCCAUCAGGAAAGACAUCACUCACAGAAGAAGCACCGGCUAACUCCGUGCCAGCAGCCGCGGUAAUACGGAGGGUGCGAGCGUUAAUCGGAAUUACUGGGCGUAAAGCGCGCGUAGGUGGCUUGAUAAGCCGGUUGUGAAAGCCCCGGGCUCAACCUGGGAACGGCAUCCGGAACUGUCAAGCUAGAGUGCAGGAGAGGAAGGUAGAAUUCCCGGUGUAGCGGUGAAAUGCGUAGAGAUCGGGAGGAAUACCAGUGGCGAAGGCGGCCUUCUGGACUGACACUGACACUGAGGUGCGAAAGCGUGGGUAGCAAACAGGAUUAGAUACCCGGGUAGUC